UUUGAUCCUGGCUCAGAACGAACGCUGGCGGCAUGCCUAACACAUGCAAGUCGAACGAAGUCUUCGGACUUAGUGGCGCACGGGUGCGUAACGCGUGGGAAUCUGCCCUUGGGUACGGAAUAACUCAGAGAAAUUUGUGCUAAUACCGUAUAAUGUCUUCGGACCAAAGAUUUAUCGCCCAAGGAUGAGCCCGCGUAAGAUUAGCUAGUUGGUGGGGUAAAAGCCUACCAAGGCGACGAUCUUUAGCUGGUCUGAGAGGAUGAUCAGCCACACUGGGACUGAGACACGGCCCAGACUCCUACGGGAGGCAGCAGUGGGGAAUAUUGGACAAUGGGCGAAAGCCUGAUCCAGCAAUGCCGCGUGAGUGAUGAAGGCCUUAGGGUUGUAAAGCUCUUUUAACCCGGGAUGAUAAUGACAGUACCGGGAGAAU
rnacentral:rRNA from 1 species